rnacentral:rRNA from 1 species
GAUGAACGCUAGCUACAGGCUUAACACAUGCAAGUCGAGGGGAAACGAUAGAGAAAGCUUGCUUUUUCUAGGCGUCGACCGGCGCACGGGUGAGUAACGCGUAUCCAACCUGCCCAUCACUUGGGGAUAACCUUGCGAAAGUAAGACUAAUACCCAAUGAUAUCUCUAGAAGACAUCUGAAAGAGAUUAAAGAUUUAUCGGUGAUGGAUGGGGAUGCGUCUGAUUAGCUUGUUGGCGGGGUAACGGCCCACCAAGGCGACGAUCAGUAGGGGUUCUGAGAGGAAGGUCCCCCANAUUGGAACUGAGACACGGUCCAAACUCCUACGGGAGGCAGCAGUGAGGAAUAUUGGUCAAUGGACGAGAGUCUGAACCAGCCAAGUAGCGUGCAGGAUGACGGCCCUAUGGGUUGUAAACUGCUUUUAUAAGGGAAUAAAGUGAGUCUCGUGAGGCUUUUUGCAUGUACCUUAUGAAUAAGGACCGGCUAAUUCCGUGCCAGCAGCCG